GGAGAGAUGACCGAGUGGCCGAAGGUACCUGAUUCGAAAUCAGGCGUACCCGCAAGGGUACCGUGGGUUCGAAUCCCACUCUCUCCG
rnacentral:tRNA from 1 species